CUUCUGUGAGUGACUGCAGGCACCCCAGGAUCCCCUGGGAUGGGAUUCAGAUGUGCAAAUUUUGUUCUGAGCAGGAGUGGGGGG